ensembl:rRNA 5S_rRNA 5S ribosomal RNA
GUCUACAGCCAUACAACCCUGAAUGCACCUGAUCUCAUCUGAUCUCGGAAGCUAAGCAGGGUUGGGUUAGUACUUGGAUUGGAGGAAUCAUAGUCU